GAAUCUUCAACAAUUAAGCCGCUAACUUAAUUAAUAGUGUUAUACAUUAAAGUUUCU
rnacentral:tRNA from 1 species